GGGGAAUCUUCCGCAAUGGACGAAAGUCUGACGGAGCAACGCCGCGUGAGUGAAGACGGUUUUCGGAUUGUAAAGCUCUGUCUUCCGGGACGAACGUCAUCUAUGUGAAUAAUGUAGAUGAAUGACGGUACCGGAGGAGGAAGCCACGGCUAACUACGUGCCAGCAGCCGCGGUAAUACGUAGGUGGCGAGCGUUGUCCGGAAUUAUUGGGCGUAAAGCGCGCGCAGGCGGGAAUCUAAGUCUGUCUUAAAAGUGCAGGGCUUAACCCUGUGAUGGGACAGAAACUGGGUUUCUUGAGUGCAGGAGAGGACAGUGGAAUUCCCAGUGUAGCGGUGAAAUGCGUAGAUAUUGGGAGGAACACCAGUGGCGAAGGCGACUGUCUGGACUGUGUCUGACGCUGAGGCGCGAAAGCCAGGGAAGUGAACG
rnacentral:rRNA from 1 species